rnacentral:tRNA from 1 species
CAAAGAAUAGUUUAAGUGAAGAAUGUUAGCUUUGGGAGUUGAUGGUAGGGGUUAAAAUCCCCUUUCUUUGA